UCUCUUAAAGAGCUAGAAGACUAUGUUAUCUCUUCCCUUUCCCUAUACUUAAUAUAUUAAUAAUUUUUAAUAUGCAUUAAUGUUGCACGACUAGAAAAAUUUGCUAGCAGAAAACUCAUGUCAAUUAUCACUUAUCCCUUCCCCUUCCCCAUAAUUACCAUUUAUCAAUAGUAGGUAUUAACGUUGCACUUCUCCAACUGCUAGCACUCAAUAAAAUGGUGAAGGUUAAGACACAAAUGCUCCUAGCUCCAACAGCAUUCCCACUAAAUUUGAAGAUAUGUCGGUAGACUUGAAGGAAUAAUCUAUUUUGACCCCUAUUGCAAAUUGUGCUUUUCUAAGAGGAAUGAAGAUGAUUGACCAGGAUCAUUUUGGUGAAGAAGCUCAAACUAACAAUUGUCUCCGGGCUCUUUCUAAAUUUUUGGAAGUCGUACUUGUAAAGGAAAGGGGAUAAGAUCACAGAGUAAUAUUACCAGUGUAGCAACCAUGACAAUUCAUCAUCAAUCUCAAGCUUAAAGGCUUCUACGGUUGUGUGCUUAGAGGAGAAAAUACCCACAGAGAUCAAGGUUUAUAGAUUAUGCGCAGAACGUUUUUGCUAUCUCUAUUUCCGAGAUAAGGUCUUUUUGGUCUACAAUUAAGUGUACUUAAGUACUUACAAAACUUAAGAUUUUGUUGGGCGUUUUACUGAGUACUUGGUCUAUUGUUUCAAUUUAUAUGUCUUGCUUUAAU